GUCUACGGCCAUACCACCCUGAAUGUGCCCGAUCUCAUCUGAUCUCGGAAGCUAAGCAGGAUUGGGCCUGGUUAGUACUUGGAUGGGAGACCUUAUAGGCAAGGACCCGGAAACUCGGACA
ensembl:rRNA 5S_rRNA 5S ribosomal RNA